rnacentral:ncRNA from 2 species
CGACGACGACAGGGGAGCGCCGAGAGGGCGCUGAGAGUGCGGCAGAUCCGCAGACCCUCGAACCUGAUCCGGCUCGCACCGGCGUAGGGAGUCGAGAGCUCGCCACC